AGUUUGAUCAUGGCUCAGGAUGAACGCUGGCAGCGUGCCUAAUACAUGCAAGUCGAGCGGUAAGGCUUUCACUCUGUAUUUAAUGAGUUGAAUAUAGUGUGAAAGUACACGAGCGGCGGACGGCUGAGUAACGCGUAGGAACGUACCCCAAAGUGAGGGAUAAGCACCGGAAACGGUGUCUAAUACCGCAUGUGAUCUUCGGAUUAAAGCUUUAUGCGCUUUGGGAGCGGCCUGCGUAAGAUUAGUUUGUUGGUGAGGUAAUGGCUCACCAAGACUACGAUCUUUAGCUGGUCUGAGAGGAUGAUCAGCCAGACUGGGACUGAGACACGGCCCAGACUCCUACGGGAGGCAGCAGUAGGGAAUUUCCACAAUGGACGAAAGUCUGAUGGAGCAACGCCGCGUGCAGGAUGAAGGCCUUCGGGUUGUAAACUGCUUUUAUCUGUGACGAUUAUGACGGUAGCAGAUGAAUAAGGAUCGGCUAACUCCGUG
rnacentral:rRNA from 1 species